rnacentral:rRNA from 1 species
AUUGAACGCUGGCGGCAUGCCUUACACAUGCAAGUCGAACGGUAACGGGUCUUCGGAUGCUGACGAGUGGCGAACGGGGGAGUAAUACAUCGGAACGUGCCCGGUCGUGGGGGAUAACGAAGCGAAAGCUUUGCUAAUACCGCAUAAGAUCUACGGAUGAAAGCAGGGGACCGCAAGGCCUUGCGCGAACGGAGCGGCCGAUGGCAGAGUAGGUAGUUGGUGGGAUAAAAGCUUAUCAAGCCGAAGAUCUGUAGCUGGUCUGAGAGGACGACCAGCCCCAGUGGGAGUUGGACACGGCCCAGACUCCUACGGGAGGCAGGAGUGGGGAAUUUUGGACAAUGGGCGAAAGCCUGAUCCAGCCAUGCCGCGUGCAGGAUGAAGGCCUUCGGGUUGUAAACUGCUUUUGUACGGAACGAAAAGACUCUUUCUAAUAAAGAGGGUCCAUGACGGUACCGUAAGCAUAAGCACCGGCUAACUACGUGCCAGCCGCCGCGGUAAGAC